rnacentral:lncRNA from 1 species
AAGAAAUAAACUGUCUUUAUCUGCAGUUGACAUGGCUGCCAAAGAACUGACAAAUGCCUGGUGCAAAGUCCCAGCAUACAAGAUUAAUAUACAAAAGUCAGUUGCUUUCCUAUAUACUAGUAAUGAACAAUUAGAACUUGAAAUGUAAAAGUACCAUUUACAAUAGCAGUCCCCAAAUGCAGAAUGUGAGAAAAGAAUUUUAAUGUAUCACAAAUGUAUGAAACAAUCUCACUGAAAGGGAUGGGGGAAUAAGGUACUGACAUAGGUAAAUUUGGAAAUGAGUGGAGUCUGUAAGACCAAAGGCAAAAGGAACUGUACAUAGCACUCUACUCCAGUUGAUAAAGUUGUUUUCCACAGGGGCACAGGUUUACAAUUUUGAAGCCACUAUAUAUUUAUAUAAUUAAUAAACAAUUAGUAAAAUGGAUGGCAGAUAGUAGGAGACAGGUUUCUCACAGUUGGAGUAGAAGGUUACAAAUAAGCAAGGGGAGGCUAGAAUGAUCCAUGCAGUAAUAGACUGUAGUUGGAGACACUAGUAUAAAUUUAUGUUUAGCCUUAUAUAAAUACAGAUGGUUAUAUACAGAAAUAUUUAUAUUUCCAUAAAUACUUUAUAUAUGUAUGGGUAUUAUAUACACAUAUAUCUUUUUGCUAUGUCAACUGAGAGGGCCUAGAAGCAAUUAUAUUUCAGCAGCAAUCAGUAUGUCUAGCACCCAGAUCUUGUUUUUCUAACACCAUUCUCCAACAUAAGAUACCAGGGCUACUUGGAGAAAUGGCUAAUUCUAGGACUUGGGCAAUAUGAAAGAUAAAGCUAUAGCAUCUUGUAGUGCCAGAAUGUAAGUAAAUACUAAAAAAAAAAAAAAACCCUCUACAACAUAACAAUGGAAGCGUGUCAAAUGAAUACAGGAGCCAACUGAAAGCUCCCAAUGACCAAAGCUGGAACAAUUUGAGCAAAAACAUGUAAAGUAGUAUUGCGUUAAUCCAAAGUAUAAAAUAGUCAUGAGUCUACAUUGAUACAAAUAAACUGAAUAUAUAAAUAAGUGGGGAAUAAGAGUCAAAUAUCCUCUGCAGAAGGAUUCCAAAUAAUUUUUGUCAAUACUCUGCCUUCAAGGAGGUAAUAAUGCCCUACUCCUUAAGUGUGGGCUGCCAAUAGUGACUUUAUUCCAAAGAAUACAGUAUGGAAAGGGAAAAAUAAAACUUAACCUUGGAGAAACCUGACAAACACUACUUCAGUCAGGUUACCAAGGAUAAGAACAGUGGUAAAUAUAUUGAUGGUAUGUCCCCUUUAUAUGAUGAGAAUGGCAUUUUACCUCUGGUCUUCUUCCCAAAACACAUAAUGCCUGUGUAAUCACAAGACAAGCAAACCCAAGUUUUGGGACAUUAUACAAAAUACCUGACCAAUACUUCGUAGAAGUGUCAAGGUCAUCAAAAACAGGCAAAGUCUGAAAAACUCUCACAGCUAAGUGGAGCCUAUGGAGACAUGACGACUAAAUGUAACCUGAAUGGGAUCCUGGAACAGAAAAAGGACAUUAAGGGAAAUCCAAAUAAAGUACGUACUUUAGUUAAUAAUAAUGUAUCAAUAUUGGUUAACAGUGACAAAUGUACCAUACUAAUGUAAGAUGUUAAUAAUAGGGGACAGUGCAUAUGGGAUACUCUGUACUAUCUUUGCAAUAAUUGUGUAGAUCUAAAACCAUCCUAAAAGUUUAUUAAAAAAAAAUACUGUAAGGAAAUAAAAAGCUACUCAAGAGCCAGGGGGAAAAAAUCACAUAGGUAGAUGGGUCUGUUGAAAUAGUAAAGCAGGGCUUAACAGAAAUUUCCUGGGAGACAAUUCCUAAGAAAAAAGUGUUAGCAGACUAGAGAUUAACAAAUGAGAAUAGCACACCAUCUCGUCACUCAGCUUUUCCUCCUGGCUCAAUCUCCACUAUCUAAAUCCGGUGGAAACGGCUAUAUGCAAAAAUAUACACAAAUCAACAAAAAACAUGGAAAGCAGUGUUUUGUAAAAACUUCAUAAAACAUCAAGGCCCAAGUGACAAUUGGGUACUAACAACCUGAGUUAGGAUAAUUCUAUUGUAGGUAGAGAGGGAAUUCUCCACUUUUCUGUUGGGACAGUGUUGCUUAGUCCAUCAUGGUCUUCAGCCCACCAGCAGCAGCUGGGGCCUUAGGAGGGUGCAGGAUCCAUGAGAAGGGGCACACUACCUUUCAAGUAUGGCAUUACCCAGGAAGAGUGGCACCCAUCUCUCAGCUGUCUGGACUUAUUUCUGGGCACAGAUGUCAAGGCUGUCCCUUACAGCAAUGGCUCUGUAAUAACCAUCGAGUUGACUCCUCCAGCUUCCAGUCCCAGAGGAGAAAAAUGGACAGAUGAACAAAAAAGAACAGAAAAAAUCACCCAGAGAUAACCACUGUUAAUCUUUUAGUGGACACAGCUUUCAGAAUUGUUUUCUAUACUAUAUUACUAGAUGAACAUUUCCUACUGAGAACACUGCAUUG